AUCACUUCUCGGCCUUUUGGCUAAGAUCAAGUGUAGAACCCUUAGUGGCAUAUGUCAUCAUACUCAUUUUACAGAUGAGGACAUGUAAAAUAUGCAGAAGAUGCAUGAGGAUGAAUAUGGUAAAACUUGUUUUUGCCUUUAAAGCAUAUCUUCCUACUGUGU
ensembl:snRNA U2 U2 spliceosomal RNA